rnacentral:rRNA from 1 species
GAUGAACGCUGGCGGCGUGCCUAAUACAUGCAAGUCGAGCGAAUGGAUUAAGAGCUUGCUCUUAUGAAGUUAGCGGCGGACGGGUGAGUAACACGUGGGUAACCUGCCCAUAAGACUGGGAUAACUCCGGGAAACCGGGGCUAAUACCGGAUAACAUUUUGAACCGCAUGGUUCGAAAUUGAAAGGCGGCUUCGGCUGUCACUUAUGGAUGGACCCGCGUCGCAUUAGCUAGUUGGUGAGGUAACGGCUCACCAAGGCAACGAUGCGUAGCCGACCUGAGAGGGUGAUCGGCCACACUGGAACUGAGACACGGCCCAGACUCCUACGGGAGGCAGCAGUAGGGAAUCUUCCGCAAUGGACGAAAGUCUGACGGAGGAACGCCGCGUGAGUGAUGAAGGCUUUCGGGUCGUAAGACUCUGUUGUUAGGGAAGAACAAGUGCUAGUUGAAUAAGCUGGCACCUUGACGGUACCUAACCAGAAAGCCACGGCUAACUACGUGCCAGCCGCCGCGGUAA